GUGGGGAAUCUUGCACAAUGGGCGAAAGCCUGAUGCAGCGACGCCGCGUGCGGGAUGAAGGCCUUCGGGUUGUAAACCGCUUUCAGCAGGGACGAGGCGAAAGUGACGGUACCUGCAGAAGAAGCCCCGGCUAACUACGUGCCAGCAGCCGCGGUAAUACGUAGGGGGCAAGCGUUAUCCGGAUUCAUUGGGCGUAAAGCGCUCGUAGGCGGUCUGUUAGGUCGGGAGUUAAAUCCGGGGGCUCAACCCCCGUUCGCUCCCGAUACCGGCAGACUUGAGUUUGGUAGGGGAAGGUGGAAUUCCUAGUGUAGCGGUGGAAUGCGCAGAUAUUAGGAAGAACACCAGUGGCGAAGGCGGCCUUCUGGGCCAUAACUGACGCUGAGGAGCGAAAGCUAGGGGAGCAAACAGGAUUAGAAACCCUAGUAGUCC
rnacentral:rRNA from 1 species